rnacentral:misc_RNA from 1 species
GAUGAAGAACGCAGCGAAAUGCGAUAAGUAGUGUGAAUUGCAGAACUCAGUGAAUCAUCGAAUCUUUGAACGCACAUUGCGCCCCUUGGUAUCCCGAGGGGCAUGCCUGUUCGAGCGUCAUUUCACCACUCAAGCCUGGCUUGGUGUUGGGCGACGUCCCCUUUGGGGACGCGCCUCGAAACGCUCGGCGGCGUGGCACCGGCUUUAAGCGUAGCAGAAUCUUUCGCUUUGGAAGUCGGGGCCCCGUCUGCCGGAAGACCUACUCGCAAGGUUGACCUCGGAUCAGGCAGGGAUACCCGCUGAACUUAAGCAUAUCAAUAAGCGGAGGA